UCACAGUUCGACACCUGUAAUGUUGUUAUUACUAGUUAUGAUAUUAUAAGGAAGGAUAUUGAGUUUUUGGGGUARRSUUCUUUUCUCGGAGAAGAAGCAAUGACGGUAUCUGAGGAAUAAGCAUCGGCUAACUCUGUGCCAGCAGCCGCGGUAAGACAGAGGAUGCAAGCGUUAUCCGGAAUGAUUGGGCGUAAAGCGUCUGUAGGUGGCUUUUCAAGUCCACCGUCAAAUCCCAGGGCUUAACCCUGGACAGGCGGUGGAAACUACCAAGCUAGAGUACGUUAGGGGCAGAGGGAAUUUCCGGUGGAACGGUCAAAUGUAUUGAGAUCGGAAAGAACGCCAACAGCGAAGGCACUCUGCUGGGGCGAUACUGACACUGAGAGACGAAAGCUAGGGGAGCAAAUGGGAUUAGUGACCCCACUAGUCCUAGCCGUAAACGAUGGAUACUAAGUGUUUGUGCGGAUCCACCCGUACAGUGCUGUAGCUAACGCGUUAAGUAUCCCGCCUGGGGAGUACGUUCGCAAGAAUGAAACUCAAAGGAAUUGACGGGGGCCCGCACAAGCGGUGGAGCAUGUGGUUUAAUUCGAUACAGAGCGAAGAACCUUACCAGGGCUUGACAUGCCGUGAAUCUUCUUGAAAGAGAGGAGUGCCUUCGUGAACAGCGGAGGAACGCGGACACAGGUGGUGCAUGGCUGUCGUCAGUUCGUGCCGUAAGGUGUUGGGUUCAGUCUCGCAACGAGCGCAACCCUCGUGUUUAGUUGCCAUGAUUUAGUUUGGAACCCUGAACAGACUGCUGGUGAUAAGCCGGAGGAAGGCGAGGAUAACGUCAAGUCAUUAUGCCCCUUAUGCCCUGGGCGACUUACGUGCUACAAUGGACGGGACAAAGGUCGCAAUCAUGUCCGCGAUCCCGCGAGGGUGAGCUAACUCCAAAAACCCGUCCUCAGUUCGGAUUGCAGACUGCAACUCGUCUGCAUGAAGCAGGAAUCGCUAGUAAUCGCCGGUCAGCCAUACGGCGGUGAAUUCGUUCUCGGGCCUUGUACACACCGCCCGUCACACUAGGGGAGCUGGCCAUGUUUGAAAUCUUGAAAACCUUAACCGCAAGGAGGGGUAUGCAGAAGGCAAGGCGAGUGACUAAAGUGAAGUCGUAACAAGGUAGUCGUACUGGAAGGUGUGGCUG
rnacentral:rRNA from 1 species